rnacentral:rRNA from 1 species
AACGAACGCUGGCGGCAUGGAUUAGGCAUGCAAGUUGAACGAACUCCUUCGGGAGUGAGUAGCGAAAGGGUGAGGAACGCGUGAGUAAUCUGCCCAUAAGUUGGGAACAACAGUUGGAAACGACUGGCUAAUACCGAAUGUAGGCUAUUGACCCCGCAUGGGUUUUUGGCUAAAGAUUUAUCGCUUAUGGAAUGAGCUCGCGUCCCAUUAGCUGGUUGGUGAGGUAACGGCCCACCAAGGCUACGAUGGGUAGCUGGUCUGAGAGGAUGGUCAGCCACCACUGGGACUGAGACACUGCCCCAGACUCCUACGGGAGCUGCAGUCGAGAAUCUUGGGCAAUGCGCGAAAGCGU